UUGAACGCUGGCGGCAGGCCUAACACAUGCAAGUCGAGCGGUAACAGGGGUAGCUUGCUACCCGCUGACGAGCGGCGGACGGGUGAGUAAUGCAUAGGAAUCUGCCCGAUAGUGGGGGAUAACCUGGGGAAACCCAGGCUAAUACCGCAUACGUCCUACGGGAGAAAGGGGGCUUCGGCUCGCGCUAUCGGAUGAGCCUAUGUCGGAUUAGCUGGUUGGUGAGGUAAUGGCUCACCAAGGCGACGAUCCGUAGCUGGUCUGAGAGGAUGAUCAGCCACAUCGGGACUGAGACACGGCCCGAACUCCUACGGGAGGCAGCAGUGGGGAAUAUUGGACAAUGGGGGGAACCCUGAUCCAGCCAUGCCGCGUGUGUGAAGAAGGCCCUCGGGUUGUAAAGCACUUUCAGUGAGGAAGAACGCCUGGUGGUUAAUACCCAUCAGGAAAGACAUCACUCACAGAAGAAGCACCGGCUAACUCCGU
rnacentral:rRNA from 1 species